GGCAAUGUGGCUCAGUGGUAGAGUGCCUGCCUAGCAUGCAUGAAGCCCUGGGUUCGAUUCCUCAGUACCA
rnacentral:tRNA from 1 species